CAGUAGCCGCGGUAAUACGGAGGGUGCGAGCGUUAAUCGGAAUUACUGGGCGUAAAGCGCGCGUAGGCGGCUUGGUAAGUCGAUUGUGAAAGCCCCGGGCUCAACCUGGGAAUUGCAGUCGAGACUGUCAGGCUAGAGUGUGGGAGAGGGUGGUGGAAUUCCCGGUGUAGCGGUGAAAUGUGUAGAUAUCGGGAGGAACAUCAGUGGCGAAGGCGACCGCCUGGCCCAACACUGACGCUGAGGUGCGAAAGCGUGGGUAGCAAACAGGAUUAGAUACCCGCGUAGUCCCUGUCUCUUAUAC
rnacentral:rRNA from 1 species